GGAUGUAAGGGUGAUCUGUCCCCCCAUGGAUCCCCGGGCUGAUUCUGCUGACCUGGCUGCCUGCGCAGGAGUCCCCUCCCUCCCUCAGCACUCCAUGUGUGUCCCUCCUGAAGCUGCAUGCCCAAGGAAGGCACCCCCCCAAGGAGGAGGACCAUCGCUCAGAAGUACUGUGCCCCUGCUAGAAACUCCGAGCAAGCCUGCAGCCAGAGACAUCCCUGGUGCUCUAUGGUCAUGUCCCAGGGCAGGGGUGGAGAAACAUCAGGGCUCAGCCCCACCACCACCAGGGCUCUGGGAAGAAAGCCUUCUUUU
ensembl:misc_RNA 7SK 7SK RNA